rnacentral:lncRNA from 1 species
UCUUUCUACCUAAAUCUCCAUGAACUACUCGCCACUGGACAUGUAUCAUACACUAAUUAAUUAUCUCUUUACUUUUUGUGAUAAUAGUGGUGAAUGGGGAAACUUGUCCCGGAGGUCUUGUGACAGAAUGUGUUCACACGUUGUGUGAUGACGUGUCAGAACUACACUGUGUUGACAACAACUGUGUGUGUACUUUAACUGGAUCAAG